rfam:Myotis brandtii contig262217, whole genome shotgun sequence.
GGCCUCCCUCUGUGGGGCAAUCGAUCAAGGGGCUCCCAGAUUGAUCACCCUGCAGAGGGAGGCC